rnacentral:rRNA from 1 species
AUUGAACGCUGGCGGCAUGCUUUACACAUGCAAGUCGAACGGUAACAGGCCGCAAGGUGCUGACGAGUGGCGAACGGGUGAGUAAUGCAUCGGAACGUGCCCAGUCGUGGGGGAUAACUACUCGAAAGAGUAGCUAAUACCGCAUACGAUCUAUGGAUGAAAGCGGGGGACCGUAAGGCCUCGCGCGAUUGGAGCGGCCGAUGUCAGAUUAGGUAGUUGGUGGGGUAAAGGCUCACCAAGCCAACGAUCUGUAGCUGGUCUGAGAGGACGACCAGCCACACUGGGACUGAGACCCGCCCCAGCCUCCUACGGGAGGCAGCGGGGGGGAAUUUUGGACACUGGGCGCAAGCCUGCUCCAGCAAUCCCGCGUGCAGGAAGAAGGCCUUCGGUUUGUAAACUGUUUUUGUACGGAACGAAAGGGCUCUGGUUAAUCCCCGGGGCUAAUGGCGGUACCGUAAGAAUAAGCCCCGGCUACCUCCGU